rnacentral:rRNA from 1 species
UAAUACGUAGGGGGCGAGCGUUGUCCGGAUUUAUUGGGCGUAAAGAGCUCGUAGGCGGUUCGAUAAGUCGGACGUGAAAUCUCCACGCUCAACGUGGAGGGGCCGUUCGAUACUGUCGUGACUCGAGUCCGGUAGGGGAGUGUGGAAUUCCCGGUGUAGCGGUGAAAUGCGCAGAGAUCGGGAGGAACACCCGUAGCGAAGGCGGCACUCUGG